rnacentral:rRNA from 1 species
UUUGGUGUUGACGGUACCUGACGAGGAAGCCACGGCUAACUACGUGCCAGCAGCCGCGGUAAUACGUAGGUGGCAAGCGUUGUCCGGAAUUAUUGGGCGUAAAGAGCAUGUAGGCGGGCUUUUAAGUCCGACGUGAAAAUGCGGGGCUUAACCCCGUAUGGCGUUGGAUACUGGAAGUCUUGAGUGCAGGAGAGGAAAGGGAAUUCCCAGUGUAGCGGUGAAUUGCGUAGAUAUUGGGAGGAACACCAGUGGCGAAGGCGCCUUUCUGGACUGUGUCUGACGCUGAGAUGCGAAAGCCAGGGUAGCAAACGGGAUUAGAUACCCCGGUAGUCCUGGCCGUAAACGAUGGGUACUAGGUGUAGGAGGUAUCGACCCGUUCUGUGCCGGAGUUAACGCAAUAAGUACCCCGCCUGGGGAGUACGAUCGCAAGAUUGAAACUCAAAUCAAUUGACGGGGGCCCGCACAAGCGGUGGAGUAUGUGGUUUAAUUCGACGCAACGCGAAGCACCUUACCAAGGCUUGACAUUGAGUGAAAGACCCAGAGAUGGGUCCCCUUCUUCGGAAGCACGAAAACAGGUGGUGCAUGGCUGUCGUCAGCUCGUGUCGUAAGAUGUUGGGUUAAGUCCCGCAACGAGCGCAACCCUUAUCCUAUGUUACCAGCACGNAAUGGUGGGACUCAUAGGAGACUGCCAGGGAUAACCUGGAGGAAGGCGGCGAUGACGUCAAGUCAUCAUGCCCCUUAUGUCUUGGGCUACACACGUACUACAAUGG